CUUUAGCAUAAGUUGCAGUGGCUUUCAUCCAUUGUUGGUCCUUGAAAGCAACAAUGUUGAAUGAAUGAAAUAAAAUCAAGCAGAGAAAUGUGGAAAGAAGAGCAACCAUCUGAGGGGGCAGUAGGGCUAAGAUAGCAGAGGACUAAACCUAGUGAAAAGGGGUUCUUUUUCUAACUGUUUAUGAGGACGAUGUCCUUGCUAAAAAAGAUCCAGGCAAGAAAGAAAUGGAGACACUCCAAAAGAGGUGCAAUUUGAUUUUGGAUGCAUUAGUGAGAGAAGGGUUAGAGGCUUUGUGUUUGUGGCAGCCACACAAAACACUUGAGUGUGGAAACAUUCACUGCCAAGGCCAAAGAGGUGCUGCUUUAUUAAUCAUUUUGUUCCUCCCUCUAUGUUCAAACAAAAGUUAAUCAAAUCAAAGUUGGGUGGGUUCCUU